GAGCAUAUUGCUCUCUAAGUAACGGUAAAUAUGUAUUACCUGAGAAUCUAUUUUCCCUUUAAGGGGGUAAUGUAUUUAUAGAGGCCCUAGUACCCAGGGUUACCUUGGGAAAGACUACUACCCAUUCAGUCAAAUGAUAGACAGUUGAAUCCCUAUUUCCAAUGGUGGUAGGUGCCAGUGGUGACUCUAACUUUGUUUUUUCCCAAG
rnacentral:lncRNA from 1 species